GGGGAAUUUUCCGCAAUGGGCGAAAGUCUGACGGAGCAACGCCGCGUGCAGGAUGACGGCCUUCGGGUUGUAAACUGCUUUUCUCAGGGACGAGCAAGGACGGUACCUGAGGAAGAAGCCCCGGCUAACUACGUGCCAGCAGCCGCGGUAAUACGUAGGGGGCGAGCGUUGUCCGGAUUUAUUGGGCGUAAAGCGUCCGCAGGCGGUGUGAGAAGUUCGAGGUGACAGUGCACGGCUUAACCGCGCAAGGUCCUUGAAAACUGCCACACUUGAGGGCUUCAGAGGGACCCGGAAUUCCGGGUGGAGUGGUGAAAUGCGUAGAGAUCCGGAGGAACACCAAAGGCGCAGGCAGGGUCCUGGGAAGCCACUGACGCUCAUGGACGAAAGCUAGGGGAGCGAAAGGGAUUAGAUACCCCUGUAGUC
rnacentral:rRNA from 1 species